rnacentral:rRNA from 1 species
CAAUGGACGCAAGUCUGAUGGAGCAACGCCGCGUGAGUGAAGAAGGGUUUCGGCUCGUAAAGCUCUGUUGUUAAAGAAGAACGUGGGUAAGAGUAACUGUUUACCCAGUGACGGUAUUUAACCAGAAAGCCACGGCUAACUACGUGCCAGCAGCCGCGGUAAUACGUAGGUGGCAAGCGUUAUCCGGAUUUAUUGGGCGUAAAGCGAGCGCAGGCGGUCUUUUAAGUCUAAUGUGAAAGCCUUCGGCUCAACCGAAGAAGUGCAUUGGAAACUGGGAGACUUGAGUGCAGAAGAGGACAGUGGAACUCCAUGUGUAGCGGUGAAAUGCGUAGAUAUAUGGAAGAACACCAGUGGCGAAGGCGGCUGUCUGGUCUGCAACUGACGCUGAGGCUCGAAAGCAUGGGUAGCGAACAGGAUUAGAUACCCUGGUAGUCCAUGCCGUAAACGAUGAUUACUAAGUGUUGGAGGGUUUCCGCCCUUCAGUGCUGCAGCUAACGCAUUAAGUAAUCCGCCUGGGGAGUACGACCGCAAGGUUGAAACUCAAAAGAAUUGACGGGGGCCCGCACAAGCGGUGGAGCAUGUGGUUUAAUUCGAAGCUACGCGAAGAACCUUACCAGGUCUUGACAUCUUCUGACAGUCUAAGAGAUUAGAGGUUCCCUUCGGGGACAGAAUGACAGGUGGUGCAUGGUUGUCGUCAGCUCGUGUCGUGAGAUGUUGGGUUAAGUCCCGCAACGAGCGCAACCCUUAUUACUAGUUGCCAGCAUUAAGUUGGGCACUCUAGUGAGACUGCCGGUGACAAACCGGAGGAAGGUGGGGACGACGUCAAAUCAUCAUGCCCCUUAUGACCUGGGCUACACACGUGCUACAAUGGAUGGUACAACGAGUCGCGAGACCGCGAGGUUAAGCUAAUCUCUUAAAACCAUUCUCAGUUCGGACUGUAGGCUGCAACUCGCCUACACGAAGUCGGAAUCGCUAGUAAUCGCGGAUCAGCAUGCCGCGGUGAAUACGUUCCCGGGCCUUGUACACACCGCCCGUCACACCAUGAGAGUUUGUAACACCCAAAGCCGGUGGGGUAACCUUUUAGGAGCUAGCCGUCUAAGGUGGGACAGAUGAUUAGGGUGAA